AUGUUGUACAUAUUGAUCACAAUUGCGCGAGAAAUGAAAGGGAAAGAAAAUUCUUCAUCAGUCUUACCCUUGAUUGAAACUCGUCUGGCAUCUUACUGUUGCAAUGUGAGCAACUUACUCGUCUUUGUUUUACCUAGACCACCUAUCGGCAUCUCGGCCUGCCACUGUUUUUUGCAAAAAGGACCUGUAGGUUCAUAUAAAGUGUUUGAAACCUGUGAUGGUAUAAUUUAUUUGCUUCUGGCGGUGCCGUACAUGAACAUGCACACUGGGAUGUUAAUUUUGCCACUAGCCAGUUUUAUCAUGAUGGCAAUAGAUGUACUAGCAGCAUGUGCUGUGUACAUGUACUAUUUCUUUGGGACCUGCGGCUGCGCCCAGCUUUUUUCAGUUGGCUACCGCUGA
rnacentral:rRNA from 1 species